CUACCAUGUAAUCCUUUCCACCAUAAACUAUUAGGGGUCGUUUGGUUCAGCCAUUGGGAAUGGGUGGAAUGAGGUUGCAUUUCAUUCCAUCCAUUUUAUUGUUUGGUUGGGCUUUUUUGGAAUGGAAUGUCAUACUAAAGGGUUUCUAACCCUAAAUACAAAAGAGAAAGAAGAUAUAGGAAGGUGCAGUCGCCCACCAUUACUAGCGACUACUAUCUAGCCACCGUCGAUCCGGCCACAGUCACCAGUGCUCGUUGCAUCUUCUCCGAUGGGUAAUUCAUGUUGCGAUCUUCUAAUUUUAAUGUAUGCAAGUAUUAAUCAAUUGAUCUUCAUCUGAAAUUGUAAAAUUCUGGAUCGAGAAUUUCUAUCAGAGUAUAGAGUUGUUACAUUAUCAUGGUUAUUGUUACUUUUGAUAUUCCCAUCAUAAGCAAAACACUGAAUAAAGGAUAAUUUGAUGUGAGGACAA